rfam:Glossina fuscipes fuscipes unplaced genomic scaffold Scaffold248, whole genome shotgun sequence.
UCACCGGCUUCUUUUGAAGCCAACUUCUCAUCACUGAUAGGAUUAG